AAGUCCUAACAAGGUUUUCGUAGGUGAACCUGCGGAACCAUAUAUCAUUAACACGUAUCCAAACGUUAAAACAACCCUGUGAACCUUCAGCGUGUUCUUGCAGGACAUCAAAACAGCAAUCCCGAGCAAAUCAGGCGCUAAAGAAUUACAGAUUUUGAUUUUGGGAAGUUCUGUGUGUACGUGGACGCUGCAAUUGAGCGCUAGAUAAAGCACCCUGGUACCCUAGAGCACUCCCCUGUCUGAAAGCGUCAGGGAUCAAUGUUCAGGGUGGCGCAGUCAACGAUCGCUGUAGGUCCACACGACCGGCGACCGGGGUGGAGGCGAAAGCCCCUACGUCAUCCCUAUGUACCCUCCGGGACUUGGCGAAAGCUGACUCCGUCAUAAAUCGAACAACUGUUAACAAUGGAUAUCUUGGUUCUC
rnacentral:misc_RNA from 1 species